rnacentral:rRNA from 1 species
UACGUAGGUGGCAAGCGUUGUCCGGAUUUACUGGGCGUAAAGCGCGUGUAGGCGGCUUUGCAAGUCGGAUGUGAAAGCCCACGGCUCAACCGUGGAAGUGCAUCCGAAACUGCAUGGCUGGAGUCUCGGAGAGGAAGGUGGAAUGCUUGGUGUAGAGGUGAAAUUCGUAGAUAUCAAGCAGAACACCUGCGGCGAAGGCGGCCUUCUGGGACGAUGACUGACGCUGAGACGCGAAAGCGUGGGGAGCAAACAGG